rnacentral:tRNA from 1 species
AAUUUAAAUAGCUUAUAAAGAGUGUAAUAUUGAAGCUAUUAAGGAGAUUAAUAAAUCUUUAAGUAU